GGGGAUACUAAGGACGAGGAUGUAGAGGAAGAUUCAGCAUGGAGGCAACUCUCUGAAUGCGUGGAGCACCACAAAGACGCCAUAAAGUUGGUAGACGACUUGGAGACUUUAGUGAAUCCAAUUAUUCUUUCCCAAUUCAUGGGAGCCACAAUUAUAAUAUGCGUGACGUUAUUCCUAAUUACAACGAACAAACAACACUUCGUAGCACUCGUGAGACUACAGGCAUAUCUUGCAGUGGUCGUGUACGAAAUAUUUAUGUACUGUUGGUUCGGUGACGACAUUAUGUACCAGGUA